CCCAACUGCUCGACUCCAUUCAUCCUCGAGAGGGAACAAAAAAGUGGCUAUUUAUUAGAAUACUUGUUUGCCAUUGUUUCGCGCCACACAAAAGGCGCUUCAUUAUUGUGUAGUGAGUGGUGGGAUGGAUGAACCGGGCUUGCGCAGCUUUGGCGCACUAAACUAGUUUUUAAGAGGGAUGGAGCAAUAGUCACGAGCAACAACAGUUUUCCAGCACUGCAAAUCAGGAACCGUGGAACUCCCGGGUGAUUGUGAGAGACUCUACAGGAAUUUGGCAGGACCGGAGUUUGGAGAGGCGCCCCCACGCUGCGCUGCCAUUCAGUGGUCGAGCGCGCUGUGUGGUUGGGAAGUUUGCACUGAGCCGUGGCCUCAAUAGCUUCACAAAGCUGAUUACAAGCCCCAGCGAGUUCGUGAAGGGAUCGGGCCAGUCACACAGGUGUGCGUUAGAUAGGGGGCAGCCCUCUAGAGCGGGACAAGGCGGGGGGACCACACAAAAAGCCAAAGUGUCCCACUAAAUUGGUGGGAAAAGGGUGUGUAAGCUGAGGGAAAACGCCACCUUUACAAAUGCCAUCCCAUAAAAGUGAGUGCCCAGAGGAAAAUUUUAGUAACAGGGCCGGUUUUUAUUGCAGCUCCUUUAAAAUGUAAGACUGUACAUCACCGUGUUACUAAUUUGUGGCAUAUGAAAAUUUGUAUAACCUAAGCACAUUUUGUUAAGCUGCAGUUAACUAGUGUUUUAAUUAUAUAAUAACGUAGUGAUGAGGGUUAACAGAGAAACACACACACACACACACACACACACACACACACACACACACACACACACACACACACACACACACACACACACACACACACACACACAUACACACAAACGCAGUCGCUUUGCUUAAUCCAUUCUCUCUUAUUCCCUCUGCUCCGCAAAAUAUGACAUCAGUGGUCCAGGCAGCGUUUUUAAUUAAAGCGGAGUCUAACUAUCAAUUACUCAAGAAAAACAGAGGCUCCCUAAGGGCCGCUAAUCAGCAUCCGAACAGUCGGUCUGCUCGCUCAUUACGGCAACACUACAGUCGGCAGUGAUAAUCAGCCGCAUCUGCCCGUUUCCCUCAUUUACUGCAUCUGAAUGUUCUCAUUCACAACUUCCUAACGCAAUUCUCACGCAUGACGCUGUGUUUGUAUUUUUCCUGAUUAACAACAUAAUAAGCUACUAUCCUUAAACGGUAGAAUAACUGAAGCUCCAGCCAGCCUAUGAAAACUGUGAUGCGUGAUACGCCUAAUUACUGUAAUAGAGUUUGGACAGCAGUUUUCCACUCACGUGGGUCCGUAAGUGUUUGGAUUAUGUUUGAGAAAAGCGCACAAUAUCCCAAUUUAUACGGCUUAUUUAUCCUUUUUAGAACCAUGGGUGAGUCUAAUGGUCAAAAGACAGCUCAGUGGAUUAUUAUUAUUACUUUUUUCCAUGAAAAGGCUGCAGACCAGUAAGCCCAUUCUUAGGCGUUUCUUUUAUAAUUUUUUUAUAACAUUUGUGAUAAUAAUUCAGUUCCGCAAACAGAGAUCUUGUUGGGUCCCGGCUCUCUGUGCGUAUUUCUGCAUUCAUGUCUUCCACCAAAAAAAAGUCCUUUAAUCCAUUGUAACUUUGGCUUCACCUGGGUCCUGUCACCCCCGUCGUCCUCGGGUGAUGAGGGGACAAAAGCGCCUAGGCUCGUCAUUCAGGCGCGACCGACUAUGCUAAUUGAAGUAAAUGGCGAAUACUGAUCCCGAUUUUGCGGAGAUCUUCAGACCUUAGGGCAGCUGCAAUUCCUCUGUUCUCUACACACAUUCCCCUAACAACUCCAACUCCUUGUUACUGUAUGUCUGGGUAUGUGAACGCUGGCAAUUCAGAGUAUGCAUGUCUUAUAAAAAUUCGACUUCUAGUCACAAAUGCGCGUACCUUCUCGCUUCUGGGGAGCUGUCCUAGUUCUGAAAUGCCUAGCACGCAAAACGUCUCAGUUCUUACAUCUCAGUAGUCCAAACAAAGCAACUAAAAAAGGAGGGAUGACGUUAGCAUCAGUGUUUAUGUGAAAUUCAUUCUUGUAUGCAUUUUUUUUUCCUAUUAGGUAUUUUAACGUGAAUUAAUUUGCUAGGGUUUGAGUACUAUGAGGUCUAUAUAGGGUAAAAUGUAUUAGACAGAAAAUGUUUAUUAAGUUAAGUAUUGCAUCAUUUUUUAUUAGAACAUACAUGGCACAUUUUUCGUUAUUUUUGUUGCUCUUCUACCACUAAAACAAUGUUUUCAUAUCUCAUUAUGGUCAAAAUGUUGUUUAUUAGAAAAGCUCUUGCACACAUGUCUGUAGUUGGUUAACAACAAGAGUGAUAAUACAGUAGCUUUAGUUAAUGAUGCAAGAAUUGUUUAGGCAUCUCUCUAAUUGCAUACUGUUUUGGUUUGAAAUCAAACAGCAAUAAGCAAAUGGUGUGAGCAAUCAACAACCCAAAGGUCAGCUGUAAAUCACUUUCCUUGUAUAUAGUUGACCCAUCUCAUGAGGUAAACUUGUUCUCAGCAGGGGUUCACAAAUGGGUUUUUGAAUUGUUUGCUGUUUUGGGGCUGCACUGUGCCUCUGUAUUUUGUGAUUGGGGAUAAACUUUGUGUCUGAUUGUGUUGUGCUUUUACAUCUGAAAGACAGAGACAGAUAGAGAGAAACCACAACAAAGGAUUUGAUGUUCAGGGAUUGAUUAUUGAUUUUGUGGUGUCCAUCUUUGUGAGUUUUUUUUUUUAAGGAAUGGAGGGAAGGUGGAAAAGUGAAGCAUGCAGACCAUCAGAAGGGAUGUUGCAGAGGGGAAGUGGAGACUGCGUGGACAGUUGAUGACAACAGGAGCACCUGCUUUGAAGACAGUGUGGCGGAUGGAGGGCAGAGGGGUUGGGGUGAUAAUGGCACACCCCACUGAGAGUUAUUACUUAAAGACUGUGCUGGGAUGAAAUGACAUUGUAAUGGGAGGGUACUUUAUGCCCUGUUUUUCAGGAACUAGGUAUUCUUGCUUUACAGCUUAUCUCUGUCCCAUUUUCUCUCUCUCUCUCUCUCUAUCUCUCUCUCUCUCUCUCUCUCUCUCUCUCUCUCUCUCUCUCUCUCUCUCUCUGUUAUAAAGUCCCUUCUUUAUUAGUCUUUAUGUUAAAAAGACUUUCUACAUAAAUUUGCAGUAUAAAAAACUGAUUUAAUCAUUUGCUAAUAUUUGAGUAGAGGAGGAGCGUAACUAAUCUCCACAGGCAUGUGUGUGCCAAAUGUAUUUUAAAGUCCUUUUGCUCAGUCAUAUCCUAGGAAGUGCACAUGAAAUUUGGUGUACAUAUUCAAAUAUGCUUAGGACUUUGGAUGAAGCAUUUGAAAGAGUACAUUUGUUCAUUUGAUACAAAUAUACAAGGGCUUAGUUGAGCAACAAGUGUGUGUGUGUGUGUGUGUGUGUGUGUGUGUGUGUGUGUGUGUGUGUGUGUGUGUGUGUGUGUGUGUGUGUGUGUGUGUGUGUGUGUGUGUGUGUGUGUGAGAGAGAGAGAGAG